CAUCCCGAAAAGCCCAUUGGUCGCCCAAACCCACAGCCGCAUGCCCCCGCCUCCUUCCUCCCUCACUCGUCUCAGCCGCACGAACCCUAGCCGCCGCCCCACCCGCAUCCGUCCUCCAUCCCUGGUACGAGCUCUUCCUCCUCUGUCUAUGUCUGCCCCGAGCUCUUCCUCCUCCGUCCUCACAUGCUCCACCCCGAGUCUCUUCCACCCCACCCGGACUUCGCCUCAUCCGUUCGCGCACCAGUUCAAAGGGCAGGGCCAGAGAGCCGUGGCGAGUCCUUGGGAGAGGAGAGGAAGGCAAAGGCGGAGCAGAGGAAAUCAAGAAGGUCAGGGGGCGAUGGAGGGAGCGCACGGCCGAACGAACCCUAGCCGGCUAGCCCCCAACCCGCAGCUCCCUCCUUCCCGCAGCCCCAGGAGCUCCGCCACCUCAUUCGACGAGAUCCACCGCCUCCCCAAGGUCCUUAUCCACCCCAGGUCGCGAGGAAGCCGCGGAAGGAGGAGAUCAGCUGGGCGUCACCGGCCGGAGAAGGAGGAGAGGCGCGGAUGCCAGCCAAGGAGGCAGAUCGGCUUGCCUCUACUGCACCGUGAGUGUAGCCGCUGCCUCUGCACCCACCUUGCUCGGCCAUCAUGGGAGGACGCUCACCAUCGAAGAGCAGCCGCAGGUGCGACAACAUUACAAGAGCUGCAGCCAGUAGGAGGUGAUGAUGCGUCGCCCCAUUGAAAAGAGCAGGGCGGCGGAUUGGAUCGAGGGUGCCUGCAUGGCCACGCCACUGCUGCCGCCUGGAGUCGCCUUGGGCGCCGCUUCGAGUGACCUCCAUCGCCGCCCCGAGUCAACUCCACCACUGCCGCCAGGAAUCCCGUCCCCGGUGAGGGAGUGAGUCAAGUGACAUACAGACACAAGAAAUAUUCAGUUAUGAGGAUUGAAGAAAUUAAUGAUCAUUCAGUCAUUGAGGAUUUGAGAAGAGACAUCAAUGCUCCAGUAGAGGUGUUAUUGAAGUUGUGGCUGUCAAUAGUCCUUUUAUUGAUGCUAAGUACAUGGAUCCAUUGAGAUCGUGGAUGAUUCAGUAUUGGAGAUUAAUGCGAAAAGAUCACAACCACAGGCGAAAGAGGGAAAGGAGAAGUCUGAAUGCGCCAACAAGUAGCGACCAAUGAGCUGUCGUCUAUGGAUUGGCUAAGCGAGGAGUUGUCUUGCGCUGCAAGGGCAUCUUGCAGAUCGAUUUCCUUGGUUUGAUGUGUCUCAGAUUCUAAUUAGUAUUUAAUUUCCUUGGUUUUAACUUAUAACCGGACAAAAAUUGUUAUUGCACCUGAAUAUUUGAUUAUGAAUCUAAGUUAUGGGAAAUAGGUGGAGUAAGAGGAAAUGAGGCGUUGUUCGAUGGGGCCUUGCCACGGUUGCCUUGAGUUUUCGCAUCGAAGCACCACUUUGUAUGGCUAGACUUCCAUGGCUACAUAGAGGGUCCCAAUCUGCAGGCAAGCUCUUCUUUUCAUCUGCAGACAAGAAGGCCUCCUCGGACAUUAAAAAGGUACGACUAGGUAGCAGUGGAAGUGCUCCGUUCAAAAACAAAAGCUCUACAUAUGCAAAUGGAGGUUCAGACACAUCUCCAUGAACAGCCAUACUAAUUACUGCAGAAUAUGGUGGUCAGCAAAAUCUACAAGAGCAUCCGUCCUAGGUGUAGAAUAACAAGGGGCGUGUGCUGCGAAAAAUUAAGAGAGGGGGACAAUGAAAAGGAGUUGCUUCGACAAUACAUUUCUAGACGACCUCAAUGCGGUGCUCAGGGUGGCAAACGAAGAGGCGCCCAACGUCCUUGUGGUGGAGAUAGGGGAGGAGUUGGGCGUCCUCGUGGUGGAGAACAGGGACGCGCCAGCGUCCUCGCGGUGGAGAAUGGGGAGACGACGUGCAUCCUUGCAGUGGGGAACGAGAAAGCAUAUCUUGUUCCUGGAAAAAUAUAGUGCAGUGUGGUGCUUUCGGUUGAUAGUCAAGAGCCAUGAAUAGGAGCAAGGCAUCACACUCCAGCUCUGAGAAGAAAAAGAUAUGAAGACAGAGAUAGAUCAGUGUUUUGCUCCGAAGCAAAAACAUUUUGCAUGUAAUAAUGAAUUAUAGUUUACCACAAUCUCUCUAAAACAGGCCUACCUAUUACCAGUCCGUUGCUUGCCUUUUUUAGGAAGUAUGACUCAGUUGUAUAUAUUUACAUUUGUGUUGUUUAGUUGUGGUUUGUAUGCUUGAAAAUAUGUUUUAGCCGAGCUUGAAAAUUCUUAUGUGCAGUGAAAUUGUAUGUAACACUUUGUAAAGAACAAAUGAAACAUGUUUCAAAUAACUCAUAGUCUAAAUCGA